rnacentral:rRNA from 1 species
ACUGAGCGGCGGACGGGUGAGUAACGCGUGGGUAACCUGCCUCAUACAGGGGGAUAACAGUUAGAAAUGACUGCUAAUACCGCAUAAGACCACGGUACCGCAUGGUACAGUGGUAAAAACUCCGGUGGUAUGGGAUGGACCCGCGUCUGAUUAGGUAGUUGGUGGGGUAACGGCCUACCAAGCCGACGAUCAGUAGCCGACCUGAGAGGGUGACCGGCCACAUUGGGACUGAGACACGGCCCAG